rnacentral:rRNA from 1 species
CCUACGGGUGGCAGCAGUGAGGAAUAUUGGUCAAUGGGCGUAAGCCUGAACCAGCCAAGUCGCGUGAGGGAUGAAGGUUCUAUGGAUCGUAAACCUCUUUUAUAAGGGAAUAAAGGGUGGGACGUGUCCUGUUUUGUAUGUACCUUAUGAAUAAGGAUCGGCUAACUCCGUGCCAGCAGCCGCGGUAAUACGGAGGAUCCGAGCGUUAUCCGGAUUGGUUGGGUCUAAAGGGUGCGUAGGCGGCCUUUUAAGUCAGCGGUGAAAGUCUGUGGCUCAACCAUAGAAUUGCCGUUGAAACUGGGAGGCUUGAGUAUGUUUGAGGCAGGUGGAAUGCGUGGUGUAGCGGUGAAAUGCUUAGAUAUCACGCAGAACCCCGAUUGCGAAGGCAGCCUGCCAAGCCAUGACUGACGCUGAUGCACGAAAGCGUGGGGAUCAAACAGGAUUAGAUACCCCAGUAGUC